rnacentral:lncRNA from 10 species
GGACUGGAGAAACAGAAGAAGGGGCUAUUAUUGCAACCUGAGUGUUGGAGAAGGGGUCACACAAAAUUUUCUUCAGUGUUAAUAAUGUUGCUGGUUCAAGAAGCACAGUGUGAGAAGUAUUGAAUUAAAGAAUGAGCCUGGUAUGUAUGUGAAAAUAUUUCUACCCUUAUCAGAUGGGGAACAUUGUUUUCAGGGCUGUUAAAAAAUAGUCGUGUUACUACGAUAUUAAUGUUUCCCUGAUUCUUGGAGUUACAUGUCAUAUUUAAAGAAGAAAACAAUCACUAGAUAUCACCUACCACAUGGCCAAAAUUCUCAGGGAUAAUUAUACUGUUAUAUGGCAAACCUGUAGUUAGAGAAAACUGAGAUAGAUACAGUACCGCAGUUCUUGCGGGUGUCUGGAUGUAGGUAUAUUCUUAGUUCAGCUCUGGAGCUGUAUACAACCUUUUACCAAUAAUCAUCAGAAAAAUGCUUUAUUCUCCAAUUAUUUGUACGACCAUACGCCACUAUGGAGAAAUAUCUCUGAUUGUGGUUAAAAACUCUGCCAUUUAAACACCCCCUUAAAUUAACUGACAUUCAGUAUUCCCUUGCACAGGAGCAGUUCACAACUUUAGGAAAGUUUCUAGAAUUUCUAUGUCCUGUCUGCUCCUGCUGGGUGAGCCAUUUGCCUAUGCAGAGUCAGUUGUUUGUUCUUAAAUCUGUUUUGCCAGUGGUAGUUAUUAUUGUAAUAACGU